AUUGAACGCUGGCGGCAGGCCUAACACAUGCAAGUCGAGCGGAGCUGCGGACGGGUGAGUAAUGCCUAGUAAUCUGCCUGUUAGUGGGGGAUAACGUCCGGAAACGGGCCCUAAUACCGCAUACUAUCAGAUCACCCUCGGUGGGAUUAGCUAGUUGGUGGGGUAAUGGCUUACCAAGGCGACGAUCCGUAACUGGUCUGAGAGGAUGAUCAGUCACACUGGAACGGAGACACGGUCCAGACUCCUACGGGAGGCAGCAGUGGGGAAUAUUGGACAAUGGGCGAAAGCCUGACCGAGCCAUGCCGCGUGUGUGAAGAAGGUCUUCGGAUUGUAAAGCACUGUAAGUUGGGAGGCGUUACCAACAGAAAAAGCACCGGCUAACUUCGUGCCAGCAGCCGCGGUAAUAC
rnacentral:rRNA from 1 species